AGAGAGCAGAGGUCUGGGAUCAAGGUAGCAGUAGGAGGGUCCUUCCUGCCUCCUCUGGCUUCAGCGGGAUGCCAGCAAUCCUCCACUCCCCUUGCCUAGCAACUGCAUCACUGAAUUCCCUGCUGCGUGGUCCACGUCACAUCCUUCCCCAUCUGUGUGUGGAUCCUUAUGAACACCUUCCUUUUUUGUGUUUAAUGUUUGCAGCUUUUAUCCUGCACUUCAAGCCAAGAGAACGGAUGCUUCAGGGAUGCUUGCUGUGUGCACAGCUUGCGUGUGCGAUGUGUAAUCAACUCUGCGCAACGGUUAUCGGAAUUCAGACAAUGUGGAGACUCUUCCCAUCACUGUGCUGUCAAAGGGGAAACCGAGGCACAGAAAGAUUAGGAAACUGUUCCAAGGUCACCCAUCAAAUAAGAGCUGGCUCCAGACUACCCCCAAUAUUUUCAGAAUUUGUGAUGUCUGUGGGUUUCUUUCCUUAAAUCACCUUGCUUUAGCACACA